UACGUAGGGUGCAAGCGUUAUCCGGAAUUAUUGGGCGUAAAGAGCUCGUAGGUGGUUUGUCGCGUUGUUCGUGAAAUCUCACGGCUUAACUGUGAGCGUGCGGGCGAUACGGGCAGACUAGAGUACUGCAGGGGAGACUGGAAUUCCUGGUGUAGCGGUGGAAUGCGCAGAUAUCAGGAGGAACACCGGUGGCGAAGGCGGGUCUCUGGGCAGUAACUGACGCUGAGGAGCGAAAGCGUGGGGAGCGAACAGG
rnacentral:rRNA from 1 species